UGGGGAAUAUUGGACAAUGGGGGGAACCCUGAUCCAGCCAUGCCGCGUGUGUGAAGAAGGCCUUAUGGUUGUAAAGCACUUUAAGCGAGGAGGAGGGUACUGGUAUUAAUACUACCAGGUACUGGACGUUACUCGCAGAAUAAGCACCGGCUAACUCUGUGCCAGCAGCCGCGGUAAUACAGAGGGUGCGAGCGUUAAUCGGAUUUACUGGGCGUAAAGCGUGCGUAGGCGGCUAAUUGAGUCGGAUGUGAAAUCCCCGAGCUUAACUUGGGAAUUGCAUUCGAUACUGGUUAGCUAGAGGGUGGGAGAGGAUGGUAGAAUUCCAGGUGUAGCGGUGAAAUGCGUAGAGAUCAGGAGAAAUACCGAUGGCGAAGGCAGCCAUCUGGCCUAACACUGACGCUGAGGUACGAAAGCAUGGGGAGCAAACAGG
rnacentral:rRNA from 1 species